GACGAUGCCCGCUAUGGUCGCACCACCCAUACGCCGGCCUUGCGUGUAGUGCCAACUUCACUGCAGUUGAAUUAUAUACCUAUAAUAUACGGCAAAGUACUUUUAUCAUCCACUAAGCAGUGUAACAGACAACUGGGUCAUCUAAAUCCAUUGAACUGGCGUAAGGACCGGUGCAUAUCAGUUGAAGCGCAGCGCAGAGCAAUUUUCACUGCCGAAUCAUUAUUGACUCAAACGUUGAAACAAUAUCGAACAUUAAUUUAUGCAACGAUUAGUCACCGAGAGUAGGGUUGAAAUCUAUAGAGUGCACUUUGACUUUGCUAAGUUUCAGUUAAAACGAGAUACAUUUAUGCCAGCGGUAUAACGCUUUCUCCUUUUAAUAGUGUCUUAAGUAUGAGCAAAGUCAAAGUGCGCCCUAUAGUUCUCAGCUUGAAAGUCACUGAGAGUAAAAGGGAAAAUCCUUCUAAUGCUUGGGUCAUUCGAUUUUCGACAUUAUUUCAACGUUAGCAAAGUCGAUAAUGGUUUGGCAGUGAAAAAUGGUGUCACAUAGCAUUUAAAAAAUGGAUCAGUCGGUUAUCAGUCUAGUCGAAGGCUAACAAACGUAUCAUCCACUCAUCAAGAUUAUACCUAAUUGUUCAUUCAAACAGUUACCUGAAUUUUACUGUUGUAGAGUUGUCGUACGUUCUAUUUUUCGAUUUAAUUAAACCUAACGCGUUACAAUAUAUUAUUUUAAGCUAUAAUUUGUAACGCUGUAAGACGAGUGGUAUGUUCAUUAAUUUUAUUAAUAUUAACGUUAAAAGUGGCUGCCGUUCAAUGAUCGUUAUUCCUGUAUCUGUAUGGGUAUUUAGGGUAGAUUGGUUAUUUUUAAACGCAGUCUGUUAAGAAAUUGGUCAGUUUUGUUCUAUAGUAUGAAAUGUAUUAAUAGAAUGCAAGAAAUUGCGUUUGUUUCUUAGGAUAAACAUUGUUCAAUUAUAAUAAUUAUAAUGAAUGUAUGUUAUUAAUUAAACUUGUUCAAAGCGUAA